GUCCACGCCCUAAACUAUGUCAACUGGUUGUCGGGGAUUAAUUCCCUUGGUAACGAAGCUAACGCGUGAAGUUGACCGCCUGGGGAGUACGGCCGCAAGGUUAAACUCAAAGGAAUUGACGGGGACCCGCACAAGCGGUGGAUUAUGUGGAUUAAUUCGAUGCAACGCGAAAACCUUACCUACCCUUGACAUGCUAGGAAGCUCGCAGAGAUGUGAGUGUGCCCGAAAGGGAACCUAGACACAGGUGCUGCAUGGCUGUCGU
rnacentral:rRNA from 1 species